CAAAUGGGGCUUCUUUGAGUAGGUCGAACGCCCCUGCUCUAACACAAACAUCAAACGUCUACAUUUCGUCACACGUGCCUGAGCUCCUUCGGACUACACUGCGCAACCACUCCUGCCUGGACUCAGCGGAUUUCUUGCAGUACCUGGGCCGCAAUCGGCGUCCAAUCGGCACCCGACAGCUGUUUUUCUACGAGCAUAUAAACAGUGACACUCCUGGAUCUGCAACAGUUUGGUAGCGGUGCGCAAACGGAAAGCACGUUGCUGAUUCCCUCUGCCCUUUGCAGUCUUUUUUAGAGUUGUAGACGUGGCUUUGUUCCUUCACUUUCGCCAACCGCUUGGCCAAUGGAGAACCUCAUUCGAUCGCACCUCCAAAUGCUGGAACACCAUCCGGAAAAGUUUGCAGGAAGCUGCGAAGAAUUGAGCGGCAACAGCACAACUGAAAACUUCCACGAAAGUCAAA